GUCCAAGGGGUGUUUAAGAAAGUGAGUAGCAGGUGAAAGUGCUUUACAUGUGGUUGCUACUUGCUGUUCACCAACUAAAGUUCUCCUAAAAGACCAGCAUGUGGAAAUCGCGCUGCAUAUUAGACUUUACUGCAAAUGUGACUUUAACUGGAGGUCCAUGAGACAGCACAAGCGAAAACAUCAUUAUAGAUGUGCUUCAGAUGAUUUGAGAAUAGGGGUGAAGGUAACUGCCUUUGGAGGUUCCAGAAGUAUAGCAAAGAAAUGGCAUAUAUUCAAAGCUAAUGCAAUAACACAAGCAAGAAAAUUCACCAAAGAGAACAAAACUUCAUUAUAAAUGCUAAAGAAGUCACCAAAUGCGAAUUCUGAUUAUUAACACAGUGGGGCCUAUUUAUUUUGCUGUGUAAAAUGAAAUUCCCAGAAAAAAUGGUGUAAAAAUCUGUGUAAAAUUUAUGGAGACGUUUGCUGUCCAAAUGCCAGAUUUUACACUGUUAUUUUACAUAGGUUCCAGCAGAAGAAAAACACGUAAAAAAUAUGCUCAUUUUAGACCAUUUUUUAGGUGGGAAGACUGCAAUUAAUGCUUAAAGAAGGUUGGAUAUUUAUGAUGAAUACAAAUAAAUAAUCUUUUGCUUUUAUAUAUAGAUAUUUGACCAAUCACCCAAUCCCAACCCUACAUAGUAAAGUGCAGAUAAUUUGUGUACUAUAUUUAUUUUGCAACUCUCUAUCUCUAUUAUAAAUAAAAAAGAGUCUAUGUAAUAAUAAAAAAAUAAUAAUUCAAUGGCACACCCCAACAUAAACUCCUGCACACACACCCAGGCACACACAAAUGUGUCCAAUAGCAAUUUGAUUGUAACUAGUUCACGGUUAUGUACUUUGUUCUCCUAGUUACAUGGCUGAAACAGCUCAGGCAGAACACUCAAUAUUAAGUUAAUUAGGUUUUUCAAGUUGUUAUGGGAACACAAAUUGAAAACAAGUUACCUGGCUUUAUUUUUUUGAAUUGCUAUGGCAAUAUAUUAUUCCUUAUGAAAAUGUACUAUUCAGUCAUAACAAGCACUUAAAAAGUAUUAUAACACUUUAAGAAGGUGAUAACC